AUGAACGCUGGCGGCGUGCCUAAUACCUGCAAGUCGAGCGAACGGACGAGAAGCUUGCUUCUCUGAUGUUAGCGGCGGACGGGUGAGUAACACGUGGAUAACCUACCUAUAAGACUGGGAUAACUUCGGGAAACCGGAGCUAAUACCGGAUAAUAUUUUGAACCGCAUGGUUCAAAGGUGAAAGACGGUCUUGCUGUCACUUAUAGAUGGAUCCGCGCUGCAUUAGCUAGUUGGUAAGGUAACGGCUUACCAAGGCAACGAUGCAUAGCCGACCUGAGAGGGUGAUCGGCCACACUGGAACUGAGACACGGUCCAGACUCCUACGGGAGGCAGCAGUAGGGAAUCUUCCGCAAUGGGCGAAAGCCUGACGGAGCAACGCCGCGUGAGUGAUGAAGGUCUUCGGAUCGUAAAACUCUGUUAUUAGGGAAGAACAUAUGUGUAAGUAACUGUGCACAUCUUGACGGUACCUAAUCAGAAAGCCACGGCUAACUACAUG
rnacentral:rRNA from 1 species